rnacentral:piRNA from 1 species
UCAGCAUAACUCAUUUUUUAA